rnacentral:rRNA from 1 species
UACGAAGGGGGCUAGCGUUGCUCGGAAUCACUGGGCGUAAAGGGUGCGUAGGCGGGUCUUUAAGUCAGGGGUGAAAUCCUGGAGCUCAACUCCAGAACUGCCUUUGAUACUGAAGAUCUUGAGUUCGGCAGAGGUGAGUGGAACUGCGAGUGUAGAGGUGAAAUUCGUAGAUAUUCGCAAGAACACCAGUGGCGAAGGCGGCUCACUGGCCCGAUACUGACGCUGAGGCACGAAAGCGUGGGGAGCAAACAGG